GACGAACGCUGGCGGCGUGCCUAACACAUGCAAGUAGAACGCUGAAGGAGGAGCUUGCUCUUCUGGAUGAGUUGCGAACGGGUGAGUAACGCGUAGGUAACCUGCCCUGUAGCGGGGGAUAACUAUUGGAAACGAUAGCUAAUACCGCAUAAGAGCAGAUGUUGCAUGACAUUUGCUUAAAAGUUGCAAUUGCAUCACUACCAGACGGACCUGCGUAGCAUUAGCUAGUUGGUGGGGUAACGGCUCACCAAGGCGACGAUCCGUAGUCGAACUGAGAGGGGGAGCAGCCACACUGGGACUGUGACACGGCCCAGACGGAUACGGGAGGCAGCAGUAGGGAAACGUGGGGCAGGGGUGGAAGACUGAGCGAGAAACGCCGCGGGAGUGAGGAAGGUUUUCGGGUCGUAAAGCACUGUUGUAAGGGAGGAACGAGUGUGAGAGUGGAAAGAUCAGACUGUGACGGUAUCUUAUCAAAAAGGGACGGCUAACUACGUG
rnacentral:rRNA from 1 species